rnacentral:rRNA from 1 species
AUUGAACGCUGGCGGCAGGCCUAACACAUGCAAGUCGAGCGGAUGAAGGGAGCUUGCUCCUGGAUUCAGCGGCGGACGGGUGAGUAAUGCCUAGGAAUCUGCCUGGUCGUGGGGGAUAACGUCCGGAAACGGGCGCUAAUACCGCAUACGUCCUGAGGGAGAAAGUGGGGGAUCUUCGGACCUCACGCUACCAGAUGAGCCUAGGUCGGAUUAGCUAGUUGGUUGGGUAAAGGCCUACCAAGGCGACGAUCCGUAACUGGUCUGAGAGGAUGAUCAGUCACACUGGAACUGAGACACGGUCCAGACUCCUACGGGAGGCAGCAGUGGGGAAUAUUGGACAAUGGGCGAAAGCCUGAUCCAGCCAUGCCGCGUGUGUGAAGAAGGUCUUCGGAUUGUAAAGCACUUUAAGUUGGGAGGAAGGGCAGUAAGUUAAUACCUUGCUGUUUUGACGUUACCAACAGAAUAAGCACCGGCUAACUUCGUG